rnacentral:rRNA from 1 species
AUACGUAGGGAGCGAGCGUUGUCCGGAAUUACUGGGUGUAAAGGGUGCGUAGGCGGGGAUGCAAGUCAGAUGUGAAAUGUAUGGGCUCAACCCAUGAACUGCAUUUGAAACUGCAACUCUUGAGUGAGGUAGAGGUAAGCGGAAUUCCUAGUGUAGCGGUGAAAUGCGUAGAUAUUAGGAGGAACAUCGGUGGCGAAGGCGGCUUACUGGGCCUUUACUGACGCUGAGGCACGAAAGCGUGGGGAGCAAACAGGAUUAGAUACCCUGGUAGUCCACGCUGUAAACGAUGAUGACUAGGUGUGGGGGGACUGAACCCUUCCGUGCCGCAGUUAACACAAUAAGUAAUCCACCUGGGGAGUACGGCCGCAAGGUUGAAACUCAAAUGAAUUGACGGGG